AACGCGUGGGUAAUCUACCUCCGAAUCGGGGAUAACCCGCCGAAAGGCGAGCUAAUACCGGAUAAUAUCUUUAAAACUUAGGUUUUUAAGAUCAAAGGUGGUCUCUACAUGUAAGCUACUGUUUGGAGAUGAGCCCGCGUACCAUUAGCUUGUUGGUAGGGUAAUGGCCUACCAAAGCUGCGAUGGUUAGCUGGUCUGAGAGGAUGAUCAGCCACACUGGAACUGACACACGGUCCAG
rnacentral:rRNA from 1 species